UACAGAGGUCCCAAGCGUUGUUCGGAUUCACUGGGCGUAAAGGGCGCGUAGGCGGCGUGUCAAGUCAGGCGUGAAAGCCCCGGGCUCAACCUGGGAACCGCGCUUGAGACUGGCAUGCUCGAGUUCGGGAGAGGAUGGUGGAAUUCCCAGUGUAGAGGUGAAAUUCGUAGAUAUUGGGAAGAACACCGAUGGCGAAGGCAGCCAUCUGGACCGACACUGACGC
rnacentral:rRNA from 1 species